rnacentral:rRNA from 1 species
GGAGAGUGGCAGACGGGUGAGUAACACAUGGCUGACCUGCCCUUUAGAGGGGGACAACGGCUGGAAACGGCCGCUAAUACCCCAUACGCUCUUGGGGGUUAGAGGACCCGAGAGGAAAGCCUCGCAAGAGGUGCUUGAGGGAGGGGGCUGUGGCCCAUCAGCUAGUUGGUAGGGUAAGAGCCUACCAAGGCGAGGACGGGUAGGGGACCUGAGAGGGUGACCCCCCACACGGGCACUGAGACACGGGCCCGACUCCUACGGGAGGCAGCAGUAAGGGAUAUUGCGACAAUGGGCGCAAGCCUGACGCAGCAACGCCGCGUGCGGGAUGACGGCCUUCGGGUUGUAAACCGCUUUUCUGGGGGAAGAGGCAGGACGGUACCUCAGGAAGAAGUCUCGGCUAACUACGUGCCAGCAGCCGCGGUAAAACGUAGGAGGCGAGCGUUAUCCGGAUUUACUGGGUGUAAAGCGCGAGCAGGCGGUUGUGCAAGUCAUGUGUGAAAGCGCUAAGGCUCAACCGGGCGAGGACNGGUGAAACUUGCACACUGGAGGCAGGUAGAGGCGGAUGGAAUUCCGGGUGUAGUGGUGAAAUGCGUAGAGAUCCGGAGGAACACCAGUGGCGAAGGCGGUCCGCUGGGCCUGGCCUGACGCUCAGACGCGAAAGCAUGGGGAGCGAACGGGAUUAGAAACCCCGGUAGUCCAUGCUGUAAACGAUGUGGACUAGGUGUGGCGGGGUGAAAGCCGCGGUGCCGCAGCUAACGUGAUAAGUCCACCACCUGGGGACUACGGCCGCAAGGUUAAAACUCAAAGGAAUUGACGGGGGCCCGCACAAGCAGCGGAGCGUGUGGUUUAAUUCGAGGCUACACGAAAAACCUUACCUGGAUUUGACAUGACGGUGGUAGGGAAGCGAAAGCGGACCGACCUUCGGGAGCCGCCACAGGUGCUGCAUGGCUGUCGUCAGCUCGUGUCGUGAGAUGUUCGGUUAAGUCCGGUAACGAGCGCAACCCUCGGGUCUAGUUACAGGUGUCUAGACCGACUGCCCGUUGAACGCGGGAGGAAGGUGGGGAUGACGUCAAGUCAGCAUGGCCUAUAUAUCCAGGGCGACACACACGCUACAAUGGCCGGUCCAAUGGGUAGCCAACCCGCGAGGGGGAGCCAAGCCAUCAAAGCCGGUCUCAGUUCGGAUUGCAGGCUGCAACCCGCCUGCAUGAAGUCGGAGUUGCUAGUAA